rnacentral:rRNA from 1 species
UGGACCUGGCUGAUCUGUCCUCCUAAUCGAGCGUACGGAUUCGGUCGGGUCUUUCCUUCUGGGGAACCCUAUGUCCUUCAUUGGGUGUAGUGGGGAACCAGGACUUUUACCUUGAAAAAAUUAGAGUGUUCAAAGCAGGCCUUUGCUCGAAUACAUUAGCAUGGAAUAAUAGAAUAGGACAUCGGUUCUAUUUUGUUGGUUUCUAGGACCGCUGUAAUGAUUAAUAGGGAUAGUCGGGGGCGUCCGUAUUCAAUUGUCAGAGGUGAAAUUCUUGGAUUUAUUGAAGACGAACUACUGCGAAAGCAUUCGCCAAGGAUGUUUUCAUUAAUCAGUGAACGAAAGUUAGGGGAUCGGAGACGAUCAGAUACCGUCGUAGUCUUAACCCUAAACUAUGCCGACUAGGGAUCGGACGGUGGUUUUUUUAUGCCCCGUUCGGCACCU